AGAGUUUGAUCAUGGCUCAGAAUCAACGCUGGCGGCGCGCUUAACACAUGCAAGUCGCACGAGAAAGCAGGAGCAAUCUUGUGAGUAAAGUGGCGUACGGGUGAGUAACACGUGGAUCAUCUACCUUCUAGUGGGGAAUACCUCUGGGAAACCGGAGAUAAUUCCGCAUAAGCUCGUGAGAGGAAAGCCGAAAGGCGCUGGAAGAGGAGUCCGCGGCUGAUUAGCUAGAUGGCGGGGUAACGGCCCACCAUGGCGAAGAUCGGUAGCCGGCCUGAGAGGGCACACGGCCACACUGGCACUGAAACACGGGCCAGACUCCUACGGGAGGCAGCAGUGGGGAAUCUUGCACAAUGGAGGCAACUCUGAUGCAGCGACGCCGCGUGAGCGAUGAAGCCCUUCGGGGUGUAAAGCUCUUUCGACGGGAAAGAUUAUGACGGUACCCGGAGAAGAAGCUGCGGCUAACUACGUGCCAGCAGCCGCGGUAAUACGUAGGCAGCGAGCGUUGUUCGGAAUUACUGGGCGUAAAGAGUGUGUAGGCGGUGUUCCAAGUCUGGUGUGAAAUCUCCCGGCUUAACUGGGAGGGUGCGCCGGAAACUGGAAUGCUCGAGGGUGGGAGAGGUAAGCGGAAUUCCUGGUGUAGCGGUGAAAUGCGUAGAUAUCAGGAGGAACACCUGUGGUGUAGACAGCUUACUGGACCACUUCUGACGCUGAGACACGAAAGCGUGGGUAGCAAACAGGAUUAGAUACCCUAGUAGUCC
rnacentral:rRNA from 1 species